rnacentral:rRNA from 1 species
UACGAAGGGUGCAAACGUUGCUCGGAAUUAUUGGGCCUAAAGCAUCCGUAGCCGGUCAUGCAAGUCUUCCGUUAAAUCCAGCCGCUCAACGGUUGGGCUGCGGAGGAUACUACGUGGCUAGGAGGCGGGAGAGGCAAGCGGUACUCAGUGGGUAGGGGUAAAAUCCUUUGAUCCAUUGAAGACCACCAGUGGCGAAGGCGGCUUGCCAGAACGCGCUCGACGGUGAGGGAUGAAAGCUGGGGGAGCAAACCGG